GAGUACCGCUGAACUUAAGCAUAUCAAUAAGCGGAGGAAAAGAAACCAACAGGGAUUGCCUCAGUAACGGCGAGUGAAGCGGCAACAGCUCAAAUUUGAAAUCUGGCGCAAGCCCGAGUUGUAAUUUGCAGAGGAUGUUUCGGGUGAAGCCACGGUCCAAGUCCCUUGGAACAGGACGUCAUAGAGGGUGAGAACCCCGUACCUGGCCGUCGGUGCCCCCCGCUGUGAAACUCCUUCGACGAGUCGAGUUGUUUGGGAAUGCAGCUCUAAAUUGGUGGUAAAUUCCAUCUAAAGCUAAAUACCGGCCAGAGACCGAUAGCGCACAAGUAGAGUGAUCGAAAGAUGAAAAGCACUUUGAAAAGAGAGUUAAAAAGUACGUGAAAUUGUUGAAAGGGAAGCGCUUGCGGCCAGACUUGCCCGCGGUUGCUCAGCCCGCCCUUUGGCGGGUGCACUCUUCCGCGGUCAGGCCAGCAUCGGUUUGGGCGGCCGGAUAAAGGCGUUGGGAACGUAGCCUCCCCUCGGGGAGGUGUUAUAGCCCGGCGCGCAAUGCGACCAGCCCGGACCGAGGUUCGCGCUCUGCUAGGAUGCUGGCGUAAUGGCCGUAAGCGGCCCGUCUUGAAACACGGACCAAGGAGUCUAACAUCUAUGCGAGUGUUUGGGUGUCAAACCCGUGCGCGUAAUGAAAGUGAACGGAGGUGGGAACCGCAAGGUGCACCAUCGACCGAUCCUGAUGUCUUCGGAAGGAUUUGAGUAAGAGCAUAGCUGUUGGGACCCGAAAGAUGGUGAACUAUGCGUGAAUAGGGUGAAGCCAGAGGAAACUCUGGUGGAGGCUCGCAGCGGUUCUGACGUGCAAAUCGAUCGUCAAAUUUGCGUAUAGGGGCGAAAGACUAAUCGAACCAUUUAGUAGCUGGUUCCUGCCGAAGUUCCCCUCAGGAUA
rnacentral:rRNA from 1 species